CCUCUCUACUCAGCCCAUCACAGAAUUAUCUGUCUUAAAUAGCAGUGUAAAGAUUUAAAAAAUCUACUUUAAAAUGAUCAUUUUGUUUUUAAAGAUAAGUGUUACUGAGGGCUUCAUAGUAUGUGUCCAUGCAUGCAUUCAUGUGCAAGUACAAAGGCACACACAAAUAUAGCAAUGUUUUAUAGGCAGACAAGUGGAAAAGAAGGCAAAGAGGACCUGGCAAUCACCAAAGAUGAUAUAAAGAAGUACCAGAAACUGUCUUACCCAGCAAAGAUUUGUUUUCUCAUAGUUCUGGAGGUCACAUAUCCAAGACCAAGAUCUCAGUGUAUGCAAAAGCCCUAAUCAACUGAGAUUGAAAACCUGGAGGAAAUUACUCACUGUAUUGAGGAAAAUCAAUGGAUUUACAGCUUGGAUUUAUACAGUAAGACAUCUUCACAGCAACAGAGAAAAUCCAG